AGAGUUUGAUCAUGGCUCAGGAUGAACGCUAGCUACAGGCUUAACACAUGCAAGUCGAGGGGAAACGACAUCGAAAGCUUGCUUUUGAUGGGCGUCGACCGGCGCACGGGUGAGUAACGCGUAUCCAACCUGCCCAUCACUUGGGGAUAACCUUGCGAAAGUAAGACUAAUACCCAAUGACGUCUCUAGAAGACAUCUGAAAGAGAUUAAAGAUUUAUCGGUGAUGGAUGGGGAUGCGUCUGAUUAGCUUGUUGGCGGGGUAACGGCCCACAAGGCGACGAUCAGGUAGGGGUUCUGAGAGGAACGGUCCCCCANAUUGGAACUGAGACACGGUCCAAACUCCUACGGGAGGCA
rnacentral:rRNA from 1 species